UAGGGAAUCUUCCGCAAUGGACGCAAGUCUGACGGAGCAACGCCGCGUGAGUGAAGAAGGAUUUCGGUUUGUAAAACUCUGUUGUUAGAGAAGAACAGCGCAUAGAGUAACUGUUAUGCGUGUGACGGUAUCUAACCAGAAAGCCACGGCUAACUACGUGCCAGCAGCCGUGGUAUUACGUAGGUGGCAAGCGUUGUCCGGAUGUAUUGGGCGUAAAGCGAGCGCAGGCGGUCAAUUAAGUCUGAUGUGAAAACCCCCGGCUCAACCGGGGAAGGUCAUUGGAUUCUGGUUGACUUGAGUGCAGAAGAGGAGAGUGGAAUUCCAUGUGUAGCGGUGAAAUGCGUAGAUAUUUGGGGGAACACCAGUGGCGAAGGCGACUCUCUGGACUGUAUCUGACGCUGAGGCUCGAAAGCGUGGGUAGCAAACAGG
rnacentral:rRNA from 1 species